CAGGCAUCCUUACAUGCUAUCUGGACUUCACACAACCAACCCCUGGUCGAAUGUAUAAUCUGCAAAGGUGUACCAUACCUGACUGUGUAAAUGUCUUCUGACAAACAUCACAUGCAUAUGGCCGUUCUCCAGUGUGUAUUCUUGUGUGACAUAUUAACGCUGCAGCCAUUGAAAAUGACUUCUCACAAGUAUUACAUUUGUAAGGUUUGUCUUUUGCAUGAGUUUUUUCGUGACACAAUAAUGUUACCAAAUCCAAAAAUCCUUGGCCACAAAGCUUGCAUUUAUAAGGCUCGUGAUCAGUAUGCGUCAUACGAUGUAUUACAAACUCAUCAGCAGUAACACAGAUUUCACUACAAAUGUCGCAUUUGUAAAGUAUUUUAUCCAUUACGUGUGAUUUUUACUUGUAUUUAUUAAGCUUGGAGCAGCAACUAGGCAGCCUAGGCGUAGCAAUAUCAAAUAUGCAUUAAAUCAGGUAUGUACUCAUCUACGCACAAUCUUGACAAAUAUGAUAUGAAAUUGAAGGACUACAAACCAAAAGUACCACAAAGACAAAACUCCAAAGUCUGUUUAUCUCUUUUAUAUCUGUUAUUAAAAAUCUUGAUGCAUUUCACGAUUUCCGCAUUUCAUGCAACAUUGCUUGAUUGCUACAUGCAACAGACGUUCUUUCUUCUCACGGUAUUUAUACUCACACGAUCGGAUCGCCCAAAUCCCAAUCGAUCGGGAUUAAUAUCGGG